UUUUAAGACGCCUGAGGGUUAAAAUUGGGAUUUUGUAGUAGGAUUGAAUGCCGCCUCUUCAAUUUCAUUCUUUAUGGCAAAAUUGAAUGGAUCUGGAUGAGUGCGAUGGAAUACGUUUCGUAAAUUGAUGAUGAAUUAAAGAUUUAAUUAAGUUGAAACCUCCCCUUGAAUCCUAUAAUACAUGAGAUAAAGAAAGAAGAGCAUCCCCUCAAGCAAGCAAGACAUCAUGCCAGAAGACAAUCGAUCUAGGGUUUGGAUACCAGAGUCUUAGUUGAAGGCUGCAACCGAUUCGUCUCAUCAUACAAAACAAAGGUUGUAUCACCUCUUACUGAUGUUGUAAAGAGCGAUGGGAGAGAGAACUACAAAGAGGGAGAGAAUUGAAGACACACUAGAAGCACCGCCGCCGCCGACCUCACUCGCACGUUAAUUCCGGUUUCACCCACCAAUUUGUAGUGUAUUAUUUGCAACGGAAUUCGGAAGGACCGCGGGAAGCCGUUCUGGUUUCAUGUCGUAACGCAAAUCGAUGCGGGGAACUCGCUGAGUUUGGUUUGCAGGUAUUUUUGUUACCAACUUCUAGGAAAUAAGCAAUGAGAAUGCCCCUAGAUGAGUGAUUGUGAAAUGAUGAGAUCAGCUAUGGAGAUAUGGGCUGCUCUUCUAAUGGCCUCAUCAAGGAUUUGAGAAAAUGUCAUCUCUAAAUGGGUAUGCCACUUCUGAAAUAAUGAUAUACUUAUAUGUGUACUGGAUUGAACAACUAUGCUAUUGUUUAUAAGAGGACAAGUCAGCCUACAAGCCCUUUAACAAAGGGGCAGUGAUCUGCAGAAGAGGUAUGCCAUAAAAUUUGUGCUGUUACAUACCUUGUAGCAUAAUUUCACUAUAGAAAAAGGUUUAAAUAAAGCCCCAAUGCAUAUGAAGAAUGUCCACUGGCUUAUGCUUUUUUAUAUAGACUUGAUUAGACUUGCAUUAUUAUUGUAAAAAUUGUUGUACUUGUAGGGAAUUUUGAAGUAUGUCAAGUCGGUUAUGUGGGUGGGUUGUUGGGUGAUAUAACUGAAAGCUUGGAUGCAAAAAAGGCUUUGACAGGAGCACUAAAAAUUCAUAAAAAGUAUCUGAAAAAGGCAGAGUAUUACAUCUUUAAUAAUUGUUCUUUCAUACAUCUUAUAAGUGGGAAAAUGGGCUGGUUGGGCCGAUGGAUUUUGUGCGGGCCGAAACAGGCCUGGUUACGUUGAUCCAAGACAGUUGUUCAACAUAUUUAUCUUUUUAAUAAAUAAUUAGUUUAAGAUAUGAUCACAUAUAUUCCCUAAACUAAAUUUUCGAAUGAAACAAUUGAAAGAGAUUUUAGCAUUAAAAGUGCAAGUUGGACGGUUGUUGACCCGUUUGAUCAUUUGAUCCAUUUCUUUUAAAACUAUUUUAUAUGAAUUUUACCUGUUACAAAUACAACAUAAUCUCUAAUAAAUGUGGUAAAGGGGCACACUUCUUUUUUUGGAUUUUAUGCAAGAAAUUGAGAGAAUAUGAUGAAUGAUCUGAAGUGGUCAAGGGUGCUGGUCUAAAGAAUUUAAAGACUAUAAUUCAGGAAGUCAAAGUUGCUUUGAAGUUUAUAAUUCUAUUUGGAUUUAAAGUUGAGGUGAUGUUAGAUUGAAAGUUGGUGUUAAAUGGGUUCUGGUGGUGUCAUUGCUACAAAAAAGAUUAGGUUUAAGACUAUUGCCUUGAAGCCCACUAAUUGGGCUUGGCGUGUUAUGGCUGCAACUAUAGGAAUGGAUAUGCAGAUUGAAGAUGAGGCUGCUACUUGCUGUUAUUUCUGUUUUGUUUUGAGUAUUAUGUUUACGUUUUUCAUUAAAAUCGAGUUGUGAAUAUCCCAAUUAGCAUAUCUUUUUGUAUUGCCAUACCGAAUGUAUACUGUAA